UUUGCCUCCAUGGAGAGCUCCUAUGGACAUAGACCUAGCAAAGACACUCUCAUUUUUGCCAUUACAUGCAUGUUUUGCAUAACGAAGUACCAUGUGUGCUAUUCCUGCAAUGAUCACAAUUGGAGUUGCCGUGUGUGCNCUAAAAUGAUCACAACUGGAGUUGCUAUUACCGCCACUGCACCAGAUAGCGGACACCCGUGGUGCGGUUGUUUUAUCUGCUGCAUUUGAUCCAAUGACACCCCAGUUAUAACUUCUCUAUCCUUUACAUACAAAAUCCAAAGGC
rnacentral:misc_RNA from 1 species